rnacentral:rRNA from 1 species
UACGUAGGGAGCAAGCGUUUGUCCGGAAUCAUUGGGCGUAAAGCGCGCGUAGGUGGCCUCAUAAGUCCGCUGUAAAAGUCAAAGGCUCAACCUUUGAAUGUCAGUGGAUACUGCCGGGCUAGAGUCCGGAAGAGGCGAGUGGAACUCCUGGUGUAGCGGUGGAAUGCGCAGAUAUCAGGAAGAACACCAACGGCGAAGGCAGCUCGCUAGGACGGUACUGACGCUGAGACGCGAAAGCGUGGGGGAGCGAACAGG